ensembl:snRNA U6 U6 spliceosomal RNA
GUGCUCACUUUGGCAGCACAUAUGCUAAAAUUGGAACAAAACAGAGAAAAUUAGCAUGGCCUUUGUGAAAGGAUGACACACAAAUUCAUGAAGCGUUCCACAUUUUA